rnacentral:rRNA from 1 species
UUGACGGGGGCCCGCACAAGCGGUGGAGCAUGUGGUUUAAUUCGAUGAUACGCGAGGAACCUUACCUGGGCUAGAACGCAUUCGGAAUCAGGCCGAAAGGCCUGCGCCAGCGAUGGCCGCUUACGAGGUGCUGCAUGGUUGUCGUCAGCUCGUGCCGUGAGGUGUCGGGUUAAGUCCCAUAACGAGCGCAACCCCUACUGCUAGUUGCCAGCGGGUCAUGCCGGGGACUCUAGCGGAACUGCCAGCGUAAGCUGCGAGGAAGGUGGGGAUGACGUCAAAUCAGCACGGCCCUUACGUCCAGGGCUACACACGUGUUACAAUGGCCGGUACAGAGGGCAGCCACCCCGCGAGGGGGCGCGAAUCCCGAAAGCCGGUCCCAGUUCGGAUCGGAGUCCGCAACCCGACUCCGUGAAGCUGGAUUCGCUAGUAAUCGCGCAUCAGCCACGGCGCGGUGAAUACGUUCCCGGGCCUU